rnacentral:rRNA from 1 species
UACGUAGGGUGCAGGCGUUAAUCGGAAUUACUGGGCGUAAAGCGUGCGCAGGCGGCCUCUUAAGUCAGAUGUGAAAUCCCCGGGCUUAACCUGGGAACUGCGUUUGAAACUGGGAGGCUUGAGUGUGGAAGAGGGGGGUGGAAUUCCAGGUGUAGCAGUGAAAUGCGUAGAGAUCUGGAGGAACACCGAUGGCGAAGGCAGCCCCCUGGGCUAACACUGACGCUCAUGCACGAAAGCGUGGGGAGCAAACAGG